UGCGGAUUAGUGGCCGUGUGAUCUCCCGUGGACAUUCGGCAUGAACCCGAGAAGGAACCCGAGGAAUAGAGAGGCUGAAGCACUGAGAGAGAAGGAGCACGAGGCUCCUAGAUAGCGGAUGUCGGUUACUUCAGGGGUUUAGGGGGAUCUUUCAAGAGAGAGCUUUUGUGAGGGAGAACUUCAGGAGAGAAAAAUUGGGUGUACAAGGGUUGAGGG
rnacentral:lncRNA from 1 species